rnacentral:rRNA from 1 species
GACGAACCGUGCGAACGUUGUUCGGAAUCACUGGGCUUAAAGGGCGCGUAGGCGGGCUGCCAAGUCUGGGGUGAAAUGCCGCGGCUCAACCGUGGAACUGCCUUAGAUACUGUCGGCCUCGAGGAAGGUAGGGGCAUGCGGAACUGUAGGUGGAGCGGUGAAAUGCGUUGAUAUCUACAGGAACUCCGGUGGCGAAAGCGGCGUGCUGGACCUUUUCUGACGCUGAGGCGCGAAAGCUAGGGGAGCAAACGGG